rnacentral:rRNA from 1 species
AACGAACGCUGGCGGCAUGCCUAACACAUGCAAGUCGAACGAGAUCUUCGGGUCUAGUGGCGCACGGGUGCGUAACGCGUGGGAAUCUGCCCUUUGGUUCGGAAUAACAGUUGGAAACGACUGCUAAUACCGGAUGAUGACGAAAGUCCAAAGAUUUAUCGCCAGAGGAUGAGCCCGCGUAGGAUUAGCUAGUUGGGGUGGUAAAGGCGCACCAAGGCGACGAUGCUUAGCUGGUCUGAGAGGAUGAUCAGCCACACUGGGACUGAGACACGGCGCAGACUCCUACGGGAGGCAGCAGUGGUGAAUAUUGGACAAAGGGCGAAAGCCUGAUCCAGCAAUGCCGCGUGAGUGAUGAAGGCCUUAGGGUUGUAAAGCUCUUUUACCCGGGAUGAUAAUGACAGUACCGGGAGAAUAAGCCCCGGCUAACUCCGUGCCAGCCGCCGCCGUAA